rnacentral:misc_RNA from 1 species
CACCGGGUGCUGUCCGCCGGCAUUGCGCUGGACGGCGCGAGCGAUCACGGCGUCAGCGAGGCGCUUUAUCUGCGCGAUCCCGACCAGAACGGCGUCGAGCUUUAUCGCGACCGGCCCGAGGCCGAGUGGCCAAGACACCCGGACGGAACGCUGGCGAUGUUCACGCACCGCCUCGACGUCGAGGCGUUGCUGCGCGAGCGCGAAGCCUGAUCAAAUCGCUUUCGGCGUUUUCGCGCGAACCAACACAAUCGCCGCGGCAAUCAGUUGCAGCGCCACACAGGCAUAGAACGGCACGGUGUAGCUGCCGAACGCAUCGCGGAGCAGCCCUAUCAUUCCCGGACCGAACGCAUAGGUGAACUGGCAGAUCGCCGUUACCAGGCUGACCA